AGAUCAGUGUGCUGAAAAGCCGAAAAAUCUGUGGUUCUCCAAAGAUAAACCCGGUUUCAAGCCCCAAACGGUAAUUACAUAACCCCCCGCUUUGACAUGUGGCUGAUAAAAUUUUUCUUCGCCAAAAGGGGUCUGAGCUUUGCCAGUCGAUCUUGGUUUCUCCAGUGUAAUUCAAUAUUGACGAAAGUUAUCCAACGGAGGUCAAACUUCUGCCGCACAACGAAAAUUUGCGAUCAACCUUAUUUUUGACCUUGGCAGAGGACAUACAGUUGCCUCUGAAAUUCUAUGUCGUGGCCUGGAUAGGCACAGACAUAUCCAUAUCGGAUGUCUUCAAGGAAAAGGAUUGACACACACACUGAAUUCAACCGACACAUCAAUGCAUGCAGGCCUGUUGCAGCGAUGGAAAACCAAACUUGCUGUAACUGUAGAUAAAUAAGAUGUUAUGAAGAUUUGAGGUGAUGCUGAGGAUGGUUGUUAGUUGGAGUGGAGUUAAAA